rnacentral:rRNA from 1 species
GGUGAUUGGAGCGACGAGGUCACACCCGGUCCCAUCCCGAACCCGGAAGUUAAGCUCGUCAGCGCCGAUGGUAGUGCGUGGGCGACUGCGUGCAAGAGUAGGUCAUUGCCA